CGCUUAUAAUAAUAAGGUUUUACCCGGAAUUAAAAACAGACAAAGGGUUUGUACCUUCGGGGCCCUCCCUUUAAAAGAAGGGAUGAUCACCCGGGGCAACAACUGGUAUGUUCACCGGGGUUAGAAGUGUAAACUCGUAAUGAUUCCUGUAGGUGAACCUGCGGAGGGAUCAUUACCGAGUUUACAACUCCCAAACCCCUGUGAACAUACCAAUUGUUGCCUCGGCGGAUCAGCCCGCUCCCGGUAAAACGGGACGGCCCGCCAGAGGACCCCUAAACUCUGUUUCUAUAUGUAACUUCUGAGUAAAACCAUAAAUAAAUCAAAACUUUCAACAACGGAUCUCUUGGUUCUGGCAUCGAUGAAGAACGCAGCAAAAUGCGAUAAGUAAUGUGAAUUGCAGAAUUCAGUGAAUCAUCGAAUCUUUGAACGCACAUUGCGCCCGCCAGUAUUCUGGCGGGCAUGCCUGUUCGAGCGUCAUUUCAACCCUCAAGCCCCCGGGUUUGGUGUUGGGGAUCGGCGAGCCCUUGCGGCAAGCCGGCCCCGAAAUCUAGUGGCGGUCUCGCUGCAGCUUCCAUUGCGUAGUAGUAAAACCCUCGCAACUGGUACGCGGCGCGGCCAAGCCGUUAAACCCCCAACUUCUGAAUGUGACCUCGAUCAGGUAGGAAUACCCGCUGAACUUAAGCAUAUCAAUAAGCG
rnacentral:rRNA from 1 species